UUUUUUUCUUUUUUUUUUUUUUUGAGAUAGAGUCUUGGCUCUGUUGCCCAGGCUGGAGUGUAGUGGCACAACCUUGACUCACUGCAAUCUUUGCCUCCUGCACUCAAGAGACUGAGCCUACCUCAGCUUCCAGGGUAGCUGGGACUAUAGGCACGUACCAUUAAGCCCGGAUAAUUUUUUUUUUUUUUUUUGUAUUUUCAGUAGAGAUGGGGUUUUGUCGUGUUACCCAGGCUGGUUACAAACUCCUGGGCUCAAGUGAUCCACCCACCUCAGCCUCCCAAAGUGCUGGGAUUACAGGCGUGAGCCACCAUGCCCGGCUCCAUAGUUCAAUGAUCAAACCCAGAAGGUUAACAUCGAUACACUACCAUUAACUAAAUGAUUACCCUAAUUUGAACAUCACGAGUUUUUCCAUUCCUGGCCUUUUGUUCCAGGAUCUCACACUGCAUUUAGCUAAACUGUCUUCUUUGUCUCCUCCAAUCUGUUGCAGCCCCUCAAUCUGUGUGUCUUUCAUAAACUUGACACUUUUGAAGCGCUGGUCACUCUGCAGAAUGUCUCCCCGUUUGGGUUGGUCUCACGUUUUCUCACGAGUAAGGAGUUGCGCAUCUUUGGAGGAAUGUCACGGAAGUGCUGCGCCUCAGUGCACCCUAUCGGGGGAACGUGUUGUCUGUUAGCCUCAUUACUGGUGACGUUAACCUCAUCGCCUGACGCACAGUGUCUGCUGGGUUUCUCCCCUUUUGACUCUGUCACCCAGGAUGAAGUGCAAUGGCAUGAUCUUGGCUUACUGCAACCUCCGCCUCCCGGGUUCAAAUGAUUCUCAUGCCUCAGCUUCCCAAGUAGCUGAGAUUACAGUGGCGCGCCACCAUGCCUGGCUAAUUUUUUUUUGUAUUAUUAGUAGAGAUAGGGUUUCACCAUGUUGGCCAGGCUGGUGUCAAACUCCUGACCUCACGUGAUUGACCCACCUCAGCCUCUGAAAGUGCUGGGAUUACAGGCGUGAGCCACCAUGCCCAGCGUAUUGACUGAAGUUUUCUGUAAGGAAGAGCUGUCCCUUCUCCACCAUUAAUCAAUUCAAUUAUUUAUGUCAUUAUGGACUCCUGGAUAUUGAUAUUAUUCCAUGGGUUACAAAUCAAAAUGAUCAUUAUUUAUAUUGUUGUUCAAGUGAUACCAGCCUUGGCCUCUUAAAAGUUUUAAAUUAUACAAGUAAAAUAUAUCCUCAUUCUAAAAUUUUCAAACACAAAGCAAAACCUCUUUCUCUCCUUAAUCUUCAAUCUUACUUUUCUCUACCUGCCCAUCACCGCUCCCCGGGGUAGGCAAGUCUCUUGCGCUGGCUUGUGCUGUCCUACUUCUUAUUUUGUAAACAUAAAUGGGAUCACAAAACUUAUUUUCUGCAACUUGCAUCUUUCACUCUGUCCUAUGGCUUAGAGCAGUGCUAUUCUAGGUGCGGGCCAUAGACCUUUUCUCCUAGUAAAGGGGGCCUUUAUUUCCAUGUCUGUACUGCUGCCUGCCCCCUGUAGACCCAGGACGCAGCUCAGAGGGGACAGGGGCAGCUGUGGCAGGGGGCUGGGCCCGCUCAGAUGCUCGUCCUCCUAGUGCCAAGGCCCAGGCAGCCUGGUGUCUGUCUGAUGGACCAGGGCCUGGGGAAAAGUGAGGAAAAGCUGGGGAAAGCUGGGCAGGAUAGACUGGAACAGCAGCCAGGACUCCAUGCCCCUGGAGGGCAUCUUUUAGAAAUACCCACAUUUAUAGAUGAAAUAAUGUGGCAUCAGAAAUUGGUCUCAAAUUAAUUUAGAUUGUCUCCUGAUUUUCACUCUUACAUCUCUCCUGUGCUUUCAUGCAGGGUGGGACUGCUGAGGGGAAGGAUUGGGCACUUCUUAUUUUAACAGGCAACUGUUACUCUAUUUUCUGACUAUGGAUUAAGAGGCACUGUGAACUUCAAACAAACAGAGCAGAAGGUGAAGCUGUGUAAGUUCUAUGAUCUUAACUACGUAUAUAUAUUAAAAACUGGAAAAAAUACAUCAAAAUUUGAACAUUCAUUGUCUCUUGGGGAUAGUCUUGUUUCUUUGCAUUUUUCUCUACUUUCCAAAUUUUCUAAAAUUAGAAUUAGAAAACAAAAAUCAAACACUCAUAUUUCAGUGAGAGGUCACAAAAUAUGUAUCCCCGAGUCUUCUAGUUUCUCCCAGUAAAAAAAGCUCCUCCCUUUGAAGGCCCGCACUAGCUUAUCCCUCCAAGUUAACUUAUUUCUCCAAGUUUUCUUUUUCCAGGAGCUGCCAAAAAGCUUUCCGCUGCUGCAUUGGCCGGGAAUCGAACCCGGGCCUCCCGCGUGGCAGGCGAGAAUUCUACCACUGAACCACCAAUGCUCCAGCUGAGUGCUGUUCUGCCUCCAGCUGUUUUGUUGCUCCGAUUCACAGUGGUGAUGGCACAGCUGUAACCUGACACCUGAGAUGGGUCCAGCAUGGACAGCUGCUGGAUUUUACCAGCCAAACCCAUGGGAGGAGGUGGGGCAUGCAUGCUUGACAUUCUGCUCAGCUGUUCAAAAGAGAAGUCCAUGAAUGGCAAUGGGAGAAUGCUCAGCAAUUCUUUUGGCUCCUGUGGGCAGGUUCCAGACCUUACUCUGUUAUCCUUAAAGAUCUGAGUAGGCUUAGUCUUCCCUAUAAAAAAUUUCUUGACAAAUUAGCUGAAACUGUCAUUCACUUGUUUCUCUUGUUUUAUGGCCUUGUGGGUUAUUCUACUGAAUGCUGUGAUUUCUUUUACCACUGGUUGAUUUGUCUUGUUUUGCUGUCUUGCCUCCUUGACUAGACUGUAAGCCUCUGGAGCACAAGGACUUUGUCUGGUAAACACAACUUGAUGUAUAACAGAUGUUUGCUAAAUGUUAGAUUUGUAAUAAAUGGAAUUUAACUGGAAAAAAAAA